rnacentral:tRNA from 1 species
UCCCUGGUGGCUUAGCUGGUAAAGAAUCUGUCUGCAGUGCAGGAGACCUGGGUUCAAUCCCAGGGUUGGGAA